GCUAUGUGCUUGUCGUCCCAGGAGAGCCACCAUUCAGACUGUCAUAGCAAGCUCAGGCAAGCCUGAGCUUGGUUAAGGCAACACAAAGAGGAUCCUGUGACCACUCAUUUUAAGCUGGAGCUCUUUCUGGCAUUUCAAUAAAACGGUGUCAGUUCUGAGUCCCUGUCAAGGAGAGAGUGGAAUAAAACAGUAGGAUUGUGCCAUGUUGGCUCAAGUGAGAGUUUUGUAGAGGUGUGGAGGAUGGUGAGAAAAGGUCCAGGAUUAAUUGGGAAAGAAAGACAGAAAGGGUAUUGGGGGUAGCAUUACUCUGAAGGCUGAAGCGGAGGAGGCGACAGAAGAGACCUAAAGACUUUAAAAUACCUUUUGGAAAAGCCCACAGCUCUGUCUCAUAUAUUUGACUCCUCAGGAAGAUGAUUUUCAGUGAAGAAAGAAGUUUGGGAAGGAAGGAAAACAAAAUUCAUUCUUGCCUUAACCCAGCUAAUGUUGUACAAAGAAAUUCAAAGGACUUUGCCAGGCACAAGAAAAGAACAGAAUACAAGAAUUCUGUCCACCAGAAGAGUGAAUUAAAGACUCGAGAGUGGAAAAUGCAGUGUUAUGCAGAUGAGGGCAGGUCUCUUCUACCAACAUGUGCCCUUACUGAGAAGGAGGUAAGGAAGCCUUCCUUUACUCUGCCAGAUAAAACAGCAGCAACCUCAUGCUCUGCAAAGAUUUUCCAGACUACAAACCAUUUUAGGAACUUGGUGAGUACUUUUACCAGCUCUGAAAACCAGCCCCUUGUAUUUCUCAAGAACACCCACCUCUCCGGCAACAGGAUGAGUCAGACAGCAUCCAGGAGCUUCAUUCCAGGAAUCUGGCCCACUCAGAAACCCAGAAAAGAAGCACAGAGAACUGACAUUUUCUUGAUAAAAGGGAAAGCACAGUGAGCAAACACUCUGGACAAAGUCUACCCUGAACAUUGAACAAAAGGCCCUAAAAUUGCCAUGGGCUUCUCGUCAACUGUUUGCCUUAAUGAACUAUACAGAUUAGUAAAAGAGACAUCUGCUCCCACUUUUCUAUUACUAAUAUCACAGCUUCCCUCAUUUAAACUGUGCAUCAGGUUUGUUUCUGAGUCAAUCCUUGUCACAACUAUGGGUUAAUUUCUGAUGUCCCAAGACAGGGCAUCCAUAUUUAUUUGUCUUAGUACCAACCAGAUAUUAAAUCCCAGGGCAAAAGCUGUAAAAACAGGAAUGGUAACAUCUUAACAUCUGUUGGAACUUCCCAAACUAAACAUGGUGAGCAAUUAUAUGGACAGCUGGCAGCUUCAGGUUCAGUCUUCCUCCAUCUGGUGGGACUGGAGGAGAGAAAACUGGAACAAUGCCAGGGUCAAGAUGCCCUAACGUAAGUGAGGAGCCUUCUACACCAAACCAACGUAAGCAUGACCUGAGGCUGACACAAGAGAAAGCUGAGCUGGUAAUUUGAGGAGAAAUGUGGGUAGUGACCACUGUCUUUCACUGGGGGACUGCCAUUUCAACUAUCCUAGUUCUCUUUGGAGUCUCUGGUGGGAAUUGAUGUCCACUGAUCAGGGCUGCAAGCAGCACAGAGCCCUUGGGGAUUUCUGUCAUGCCCAUUGCUGGAGGCAGUAUCUAGCUGAUAGUAUGCCUCCCACAAAAUAUGCUUCAGGGAAAAAAAAAAGUAUUCUGCCUCCUUCAGUCCUUUUGAGCAUGUCACUCCGUUGCUAUGUUCUCUGCACUGGGUGCCACCGAUUGCCAACACCAUUUCAACACUUCGUCUUCCCUCUGUAAAGACAGCUACCUGGCUCAGCUAAAUUAAGGACACCAGAUAAACAGAAUAAUCCUUGCGUGCAAGCUAAGAAAGCAAACGGAACAGGUGGGAAACUGCUUUCUUACUCCAAGGAAGCCAAGGGGAUUUCUGAGAUUUUCAUAUCCUGCACCAAGGAAACAGGACCUUUCAGGGAUUUUUGUGAAAAAUAAGGUACUUCUGCCCACUGCAGAGAAGCUACUAAUCCAUUGGCUCAGACACUUGCCAAGAGCUGUGGAGCAGCCAAAAUGAGUUAUCACUUUCCUUAAUUGAGAGCAGAAAGCUGAAAUCCCUUUCCCACGUAAUCACAGAGUAUCAGCUAUUCUAGGAGAAUUUGUGCUUGUUCUGUAUCCAUCAGUUCCCUUCCCUCCUCUCCAAAUUUCUAUCUGGGUAUGAGCAAUCCUUCCUGUCCAAAUCACUACAGUUUUUUUACAGAACAUGUAGGUGUAAAUAAUUAGCUUUUUCCAACAGCAGUUUCAGCAGGACAUGUCUCACUGGCCCUGGAGGUGCAGUAGCUCUUCUCCUUACCAUGGCUGCUGCUGAGCAGUUGUGUGUUGGUUUUACAUGUCUUAGUUUUUGGUGGGAAGUGAUUUUCUGUGAGAAGCUUCUGGAAGCUUCCUCCGUGCCUGGCAAAGCCAGUCCUUGGCUGGCUCUGAGAACAGACAUGCUGCUAAGCCAAUUAUAGAAUUUGGUAACGCCUCUGUAAUGACGUAUUUAAGAAGGAACUCAAAACCGUGUGCAGUUCUUCUGAGGGGUGGGGAGGCACGGCGGCCGGAGCCAUCCUGGCACUGCGAGUGUCCAUGUGGCCGGUGUGACUGUGUGGCCAGCGAGCCUUGCCUGUCGUGCCACCCUCAGCCAGGUGUGCUGCAGGCAGAAGGACAGGGGUGGCGGCAGCAGCUUCUCUCUUUCCUGCACGCUGCAUGGGGAGAGAUGUAGAAUGGUGCCAGUGCUGUGGCUGGCGGGGCCACAUGGCCUGUGGUAGAAACAUGGCAAGUGACUCCUCAGCAUGGAUCCAGAUGAGAACAACCUUUCAGCACUGUGAAACCCUACAAGGACUUUUCAAUUGACAGAACUUGAGAAUAGUACCUAUGGACGACAAUUUUCUUCCAAGCCAGAGAAUGGGAAGAGGUAAAGUCACAUGAGGAGAGCCAACAUGGCGGCACGGAGGUCAGUAAAGAAAGAGGGAGAAGAGGGAUCCAAGUGCCAAAGCUGAAAUUUUCUUCUGCAAACUGUGCUAAAAGACUAUAGUUAAAUAAGCUGUCCCCUUCGCAGCUCAUCAGAUCCCCAAAAGACAUGCAGAGGUCCAAAAGGAUGCCAAAAGGAGCUAUAAAAACCUGUACUCAGGUGGACAAGUAACUCACAGGCAAUAGUUUCAGGAAGCCUGUUUUGCCCAUGAGCCUGUUCAUGUUUGCAGAAGACUGGGUGGGGCUGCUGCUCAUGAGAAGAGAACCAAGCUGGAGAAGUUCAGAGAGAACUAUCUCCCAUAGGGGAACCUCACAGUACAACAGAAGAAAGACUUUUUCCCUAAACAAACAGAAGAAAAUUCAAAGUAAUGAACUGACUAAAACUCCUGUGUUUUGUCUUCCUGAGCUGUCAAUGGGAAAGAGGGAGGGGCUGGGAAAAAAAAGUGUUCUAGAAGUUUCUUUUAGUUCUUAUUACCCUCUUUUAAAUCUCUUAAUAAUGCAUUUUUCUUUAUACCUUUUAAAUAUGACCCUUGGUGUUUUUUUUCCUGAUCCUUAUCUCAACCCAUGAACCCUUUGGGCUUUUUCCCUUCCUCUGCUCAACUAUAGCAUGAAUGAACAGUUUUUGUAGAUGCCUGGUCUUUCAACCAUUUCAAACCAUGACAAGUUGUAACAUACUGCUGAAGGGAUUUUCCGAGAUGUCUUUCACUAGUGGCCAACUCAGAGCAAAACUCACUGUGAAAUCCUGGCCUGAACAUAGCCCAGUAUAGUUCCAUGUAUGUUUCUUUUCACCACAGCAAAUGACAGCGCAGGCAAAAUGAACUCCACCUCCAUCACUUGGAGGUUGCUUUGAGUAAGUCAGCGCUUUGCAGAGACUUCCACUUUUUUGAUUGUGCUCUCCCUCUCUCACCUCUCUGUUUCUGACAAACAAAAACUGUGAGGUGUCUGUAUGAGUUGGCAGGCUGCCUAGCUGCCCUUGUCAAAAUGGCUUGGUAAAUUUGACCUGAGUACUGAAUGUUUACACAAGGAUUGCUUCAACUUAAUGAGCUGCUUGAUACUCAGGGCAUAUAAUUUCUGUGCACUGAGAGCUUAAAUAAAGGGCCACAUUCUGAAUUUUGAAAACA
rnacentral:lncRNA from 1 species